GGCCAUAGCUAAUCGCUCCGGCUUUGCUCGUGGGUGCUCAUCAUCCCGUAGUGGUCUUUUUUCUCUGCCGCAGGCUCUGUUGUGCUGUGAUCUACACGGGUCGUGGGAGUUGUAGGAAGGAUUCAGGGAGACCCCGGAAACCUAGAAAUGGACUCGGUAGCCUUUGAAGAUGUGGCUGUGAAUUUCACCCUGGAGGAGUGGGCUUUACUGAAUCCUUCACAGAAGAAACUCUACAGAGAUGUGAUGCGGGAAACCUUCAGAAACCUGGCCUCGGUAGGGAAAAAAUGGGAGGAUCAUGACAUUGAAGAUCAGUACAAAAACCAGGGGAGAAAACUAAGAAGUCAUGUUGUAGAGAGACUUUGUGAAAUUAAAGAAGGUAGUCAAUGUGCAGGAAACUUCAGCCUUAUUCCAAAACUCAGUCUGAACAAGAAAACUACUAGAGUGAAACUACAUGAAUGCAGUGCAUGUGGAAAAGUCUUUAUGCAUCAUUCAUCCCUUAAUAGGCAUAUCAACCAUCAUAGUGGACACAAACUGUAUGAGUAUCAGAAAUAUGAAGAGAAGCCAUAUAAAUGUAAGGAAUGUGGUAAAGCCUUCAGUUAUCUUCAGUGUUUUGAAAAACAUGAAAGAAAACACAGUGGACAGGAGAACUAUAAAUGUAAGGAAUGUGGGAAAGCUUUUCGUUUUCGCAAAUCCUUUCAAACACAUAAAAGGAUUCAUACAGGAGAAAAGCCCUAUGAAUGUAAAGAAUGUGGGAAAUCCUUUACGUGGCUCACAACCUUUCAAAGACACAUGAUAACGCACACUGGAGAUACUCCUUAUAAAUGUAAGGAAUGUGGGAAACCCUUUAAGUGGCUCACAACCUUUCGGAGACACAUGAUAACACACACCGGAGAUGCUCCUUAUAAAUGUAAGGAAUGUGGGAAAGUCUUUAUUUUUUUAAGUGCACUACAAAUACAUGAAAAAACCCACAUGGGAGAGAAACCCUAUCAAUGUAAACAAUGUGGAAAAACCUUUAGAUAUAGUCGAACUUUUCAAACACAUGAAAGGACUCACACAGGAGAGAAACCCUAUGAAUGUAAGCAAUGUGGUAAAGCUUUUAUUUCCCUUAUAGGAAUACAAAACCAUGAAAGAAAUCACGAUGGAAAGAAAUUCUAUGAAUGUAAAAAAUGUAGUAAAGCAUUCAGUUAUUCCAGUUCUCUUCGAAAACAUGAAAGAACUCAUACUGGAGAGAAACCCUAUGAAUGUAAGGAAUGUGGAAAAGGUUUUAUUUUUCUCUCAAGCCUUCGAGCACACAUGAUCACUCACACUGGAGAUGGACCUUAUAAAUGUAAGGAAUGUGAGAAAGCAUUCAUUACUCCCAGUUCAUUUCAAAUACAUGUAAGGACUCACACAGGAGAGAAGCCUUAUAAAUGUAAACAAUGUGGGAAAACUUUCAGUUGGCCCACUUCCAUUCGCAGACAUGAAAAAAGUCACAGUGGAGAGAAACCCUAUGAGUGUAGGCAAUGUGGUAAAACCUUCAGUUGUCCCAGAUCCUUUCAAAGCCAUGAAAGGAGACACAGUGGAGAAAAGCCCUAUGAAUGUAAAAAAUGUGGUAAAGCCUUCAGUUGUCCAAAUUCCUGUCGAAAACAUGAAAGAAGUCAUGGUGGAGAGAAACCUUAUGAAUGUAAAGAAUGUGGGAAAACCUUCAGUUCUCUCACCAAAUUUCAAAGACACGUGAUGAAGCACACUGGAGAUGGACCUUAUAAAUGUACGGAGUGUGGGAAAGUCUUUGAUUGUCCCAAUUACUUUCGAAGUCAUGAAAGGAUUCACAGUGUAGAAAAACCCUAUGAAUGUAAGGAAUGUUGUAAAGCCUUCAGUACUCCUAGGUCCCUUCGAAGACAUGAAAGAACUCAUACUGGAGAGAAACCUCAUGCAUGUAAGGAAUGUGGUAAAGCCUUCAGUUAUCCCCGUUUCCUUCAAAAACAUGAAAGAAGUCAUACUGGGGAGAAACCCUACCAAUGUAAACAAUGUGGUAAAGCCGUCAGUUAUCUCAGUUCCCUUCGAAGUCAUGAAAGAACUCAUAGUGGAGAGAAACCCUAUGAAUGUAAGGAAUGUGGGAAAGCAUUCAUUUUUCUCUCAAAAUUUCGUUUACACAUGAUAAAGCACACUGGAGUUGGACCUUAUACAUGUAAGAAAUGUGGGAAAGCCUUCGAUUGUCCCAGUUCAUUACGAAACCAUGAAAGAACUCACACUGGAGAGAAACAGUAUGAAUGUAAGAAUUGUAGCAAAGCCUUCAGUCAUCUCCGUUCUUUACGAAACCAUGAAAGAACUCAUGUUGGAGAGUAGUGCUACGAAUGUAAGAAAGUGGGAAAGCCUUCAGUUCUAUCACUAAAUUUUCAAGACGUGGUGAAGCACACUGGAGAUGGACCUAAUAAUGUAAGGAAUGUGGGAAGGCCUUCGAUUUCUUCAGUUCAUUAUGAAAUCGUGAAAGAACUCACACUGGAGAGAAACCACACGAAUGUGAAAAUUAUAGUCAGGAAUAUCCUCAAAACUGAAGAGAGUUCAAGACGGUGGAGUAAGAAGACCCUGAGCUCACCUCCUCCCAUGGGCACACCAAAAUUACAACUGUUUACCAAGCAACUAUUGAUGAGAAAGACCUGAACAGUAGCAGAAAAGAUCUUCUACAAGUAAAGAUAGGAAGAAGGACCCACAACAAGACCAGUAGGAAGUGUGGAGAAACGUUACAGUCAAGACCCAUUACCCACAAACAGGAGGAUGAUUACAAUUGCAGAAGUUGUCCCAAGGAGCAAGGGGGUCCAAACCCCACAUCUUGCUCCCCAGCCUAGGGGCCCUGCACUGGAAAGACAAGCCCCCAGAACAUUUGGCAUUGCAGACCAGCGGGGCUUACUUUCAGGAGAGUCAGAGGGCUGUAGGAAAUAGAGACUCCACCCUUCAGGGAUGCACAUAACAUCUCAUGUGCUCCAAAAUCCAGGGCAAAAGCAGUAAUUUGAAAGGAGCCUAGGUUUGACCCACCUGCUGAUCUUGGAGAGACUCCUGGAGAAGCAGGAGGCAACUGAUGCUUACUCUCGGGUCAUAGACACUGUGACAGCCCUUUGGGGGAGCUCAUUCUACCACAAGGAUACUGGUGCUGACAAGUGUGGUUUUGGAAUCGUCCUUCUAGCUUAUUAGCACAAGCGACCUGCACUAUCCACCAGCCUGUUGGCACCGGUAUUGGGAUACCUCAGGCCAAGCAGCUAGCCAGGUGGGGACACAGCCCCACCCACCAUAUGGCCAGCUGCCUUAAGACACGUUGAGCCCCCAGUUGCCCUGGCACUGGCCCUGGGACCCCUGAGGCCCCACAGCCAGCUGUUGGGACCCAACCCCAUAUACGAGUGGGCCUACACCAGGAUACAGCCCCAUUUACCAGUGGGCCAGUACCAGCUUUGAGACACUCCAGACCUUGUAGCCAUCUGUGACAGAAAUAAGCCCUGCUCACCAGUGGUCUGACACCAACUCUGAGACCCCCAGCUUACUGCAGCCAAAGACCUCAGGAUCUGGCUCCACCCAUCAGUGAGCUGGCAUUAACCCCAGGAUCCCCUGAGCCUCAGCCCCACCCCCCAGCUCUAAGACACCUUGGACCCUUCAGCCAGCCACUGUGGGAUUUGGCCCCAGUCACCACCAGGCUGACACUAGAUUCGGGGGUCCCAGGCCCAUGACCUCCCACCCUGGAAACUAGCUCCACCCACCAGUGGGCUAGCACUGGCCCUCGGACCCCCUGGGGCUCUAUAGCCAGCCACCUCAUGUCCUGACCCUGCCUACCAACAGUCAGCAACCUCUGCACAAGGCAGGACCUGGCAACCAACUGGACCAAGGGCCAGCCAUGCCUAGUCAGCCCGCUACACAAGAAGGACCCACAUAGGGGGCAUACCUAGAGCAUAUAGCUCUGGUGUCCAGAGGAGAGAGCACUGCACACAUAGGACGUCUCCUACAAAAGGCCACUUCUCCAAGGUCUGGAAACAAGCAAUGUGCCAAAUACAUAGAAAUUUAAAAAGCAAAUUAGGCAAAGUGAGGUGACAGGAAUAUGUUCCAAACAAGGAACAAGAUAAAACCCCAGAAGUAGAACUAAGGAAGCAGAAAUAAGCAAUCUGCUUGUUCAAGGUAAUGAUCAUAAAGAUGCUCAAAGAACUUGGGAGAAGAAUGGGUGAACAGAGUGAGAAAUUAGUCAUUUUUAACAAAAAUUUUAAAAAUACAAAGAACCAAACAGUUGAAGAAUACAGUAAGUGAUAUUUUUAAAUACACUAGAAAGAAUCAGUAGUAGAUUAGAUGAUACAGAGGAAUGAAUCAGCAAACUGGAAGACAGGGUAGUGGAAAUCACUCAAUCUGAACAGAAAAUAAGGAAAAAGAAUUUUUUUUAAAUGACAGUUUAAGAGACUUCUGAGACAACAACAAGCAUACUAACAUUCUCAUUAUAGGAGUCCCAGAAAGAAAGGAGAGAAAAUGGGCAGAAAACAUAUUUGAAGACAUAAUAGCCAAGAACUUCCCUAACCUGGUAAGGAAACAGACAUCCAGGUUCAGGAAUUACAGUCCCAAAAGGACCAAUCUAAUCCAUAUAUAUAUAUAUAUAUAUUAUUAUAUAUAUUUAUAAUAUUAUAAUAUAUAUAAUGGAAUAUUACUCAACCAUAAAAAAGAAUGAAAUUUUGCCAUUUGCAACAUUGUGGAUGGGCCUAGAAGGUAUUAUCCUAAGUGAAAUAAGUCUGACAGAGAAAGACAAAUACUGUAUAAUCUCACUUACUUUUGGAAUCUGAAAAACAAAACAAAUUAACAAACAUAGCAAAAUAGAAACAGAGUUACAGAUACUGUGUCAAACAGGUAGUUGGCAGAGGGGGAAGAGGUAAGGGAGGAAAGAAAUAGGUGAGGGAGACUAAGAGGUGCAACUUAGAGUUGCAAAAUGAGUCACAGGUAUGAAAUGUACGGUGUGGGAAAUGUAGUCAAUAAUUAUAUCUUUGUAUGGUGAGAGAUUGUAAGUAAUCUUAUAUUAGUGAUCAUAUUGAAAUGUAUAGGAAUAUUGAAACACCAUGUUGUGUAACAGGAACUAACAUAGUGUUAUAGGUCAUUUAUAUUUCAAAAACAAACUCAUAAAGAGAUCAGAUUUGUGAUUACCAGAAGCAAGGUGUGAGGGGGAGGGGGGAAUUGAAGGAAGGCAGUCAAAAGGUACAAACUUUCUGUUAUAAAAUAAUUAGUACUAGGGAUGUAAUGUACAACAUGAGAAAGUUGUUAAAGAGAGUAAAUCCUAAGAGUUCUCAUCAAAAGGAAAAAAAUUUUUUCUAUUUCUUUAAAAUUUUGUAUCUAUAUGAAAUGAAGGAUGUUCACUAACCUUAUUGUGAUAAUCCUUUCAUGAUGUAUAUAAGUUAAAUCAUACUGUACACUUUAAAUUUAUACACCGCUGUAUGUCAGUUAUAUCUCAAUAAAACUGGAAAAAAAGAGAAUAUCCUCAAAACCACCACAGACUGUUUGACUUCCAUUUGAUCAGAGCUGUAGGCUUCCACAGCGUUUUCCAAAGUUCAACAUGGAAGAUUCAGCACAGUUUGGAUUAUCCUGCAAGCCCACUGUGUCCAUCUGGCAAGAAAUUUAGACUGUCGUGGUUGAGAAUAUCCUCUGAACACUGUUCUCUAGACUGUAUUCAUAUAAGCUCUAAUUUGUAAUAACACCUUGGUCUGUUAAUACUGCUGUUGACUUUGUGCUCCUGAUUCCCCUUUGUGUUGCAGUCCAAAAGAACUACCUGGGAGUUUGUUCCUGUUCUUCACUGUGCAGUGACUGCUCAGACCCAGUCCUUCCAUGUAGAAUCAGCACCUUCCUCAUAUCGGGCAGAUUCUCAGUGUUUCCUUUUACUCACAUCUGAGUGUAAUCCCUGAAUAUGUUUUCAGUUCUCUUUGAUUGUAUAAGAUUCAAAGUA